rnacentral:rRNA from 1 species
GGGUCAGUAGGUUGGUCGUGCCACCGGUACGUACUGGUCUCACUGAUUCCUCCUUCCUGAAGAACCGUAAUGCCAUUAAUUCGGUGUUGCGGGGAAACAGGACUGUUACUUUGAAAAAAUUAGAGUGUUUAAAGCAAGCCAACGCUUGAAUACAUUAGCAUGGAAUAAUGAAAUAGGACGAUCGAUCCUAUUUUGUUGGUUUCUAGGAUUGACGUA